GAUGAACGCUGGCGGCGUGCUUAACACAUGCAAGUCGAACGAAGCACUUAAGACAGAUCUUUUCGGAGUGAAGACUUUUGUGACUGAGUGGCGGACGGGUGAGUAACGCGUGGGUAACCUGCCUCAUAGAGGGGGACAACAGUUGGAAACGACUGCUAAUACCGCAUAGUAAGAAGGAUUCGCAUGUUUUCUUCUUGAAAGCUUUUGCGCUAUGAGAUGGACCCGCGUCUGAUUAGCUAGUUGGUAAGGUAACGGCUUACCAAGGCGACGAUCAGUAGCCGGCUUGAGAGAGUGAACGGCCACAUUGGGACUGAGACACGGCCCAGACUCCUACGGGAGGCAGCAGUGGGGAAUAUUGCACAAUGGGGGAAACCCUGAUGCAGCGACGCCGCGUGAGUGAAGAAGUAUUUCGGUAUGUAAAGCUCUAUCAGCAGGGAAGAUAAUGACGG
rnacentral:rRNA from 1 species